rnacentral:lncRNA from 1 species
AAGUAAUAGACCCAAUUUCAGGUGCCCCAUUUUGGGCCUGGAUCUCCCUGAACAACUUGACUUCAUGGUAACCAACUCAGACGUUUGUACUCCGUAAUGCCCUGAAAAUACAGUCCAUCUGUUCCACAUCAAAUCUGCUCACCGAGAUAAAAAAUAAUUACUCUGCCAGAGGCCACGCUUAAUUCACAUCUGCGCGCGUGUGUGUACGCGUGGCGUGGCAUAAGCAAAGUUAUAAUCAGUUAUUUGUUCCUGGAAUUAGGAUGGAUUUGUGUAAAGAACAAAAUUAUCUUGGAAUACGGCCUGAUGGCCCCCAGGGCAUACCCCUUGUCCUGCCUCCCCUGAGAAAUCCUGACCCGGAGAGGAAGGGGUGGGCAGGGACUGCAGCUUCCCGGGCGUGGAGGCAGCUGUGAUCCCCACAGGGGUCCUCCUGGUGGCUGGGCCUCUGUCUCCAACCACUGCUAGAGAGAAAGAAAGUCUCUUUUCUUGAUUUUUUUGAAAGAAUCUCUCCACAACGUCAGUACUGAAGUCCAGGGGCAUUGAGGCACUGAACUGGUCCUCUUGUUUAUAUGGUUUUUAUUUUUGUUUCCUUUGGGUUUUGGUAUACGUGGAGGUCUGUGGAGAGAGCCGCGGGGGGUGUGGGUUCAGGAAUUCCCGAGGGAGGACUCGGCCGGCCCUGCCACCCCCCUCCUUGCAGCCCCUGAGCCUUUAGGAGGCUGGCCUUCCCCACGAGCAUUUGUCAGCGUCCGUCUCUGGCUUGUGUGAUAGGAAGGGAAAACGUAGACAUGUGGUCGUCUUGGGUGUGGUUCACAACUGUCUGGAAAGACACCUUGGCAAUCAGAAAGCCGACCACAGCGGCCGUCACCUGGCCUGACGCUGCUGCAGCCACAGCACGCGAUGGGUGACCAUUGACGGGAUACAGUCCUUCCUCCCUCUGUGACAUCAGUGAGGAAAAGCCAAGAGUCGCUCUCCUGUCUAGUUAAAAUAUGUCCCCAGUGGGCCUUUUGAUGUGACCACAAACUAAGGAAAUGACUAAGACCCAAAUCUAGCUCCAGAGCUGACAGAGCACCUUCCCAGAGCUUCACUGGCCUCCCCUCCAAAUAGCCCAUGGAGGGAGGUGUGGUUACCAUGAGGAGUCUGAGGCUCAGAGAGGUUACAGACUUGGGCAAAGUCACACAGUGCUUCGUGGCAG